UUCGGCGGGCCCGCCAUUCAUGGCCGCCGGGGGCUCUCAGCCCCGGGCCCGCGCCCGCCGGAGACACCACGAACUCUGUCUGAUCUAGUGAAGUCUGAGUUGAUUGUAUCGCAAUCAGUUAAAACUUUCAACAAUGGAUCUCUUGGUUCCGGCAUCGAUGAAGAACGCAGCGAAAUGCGAUAACUAGUGUGAAUUGCAGAAUUCCGUGAAUCAUCGAGUCUUUGAACGCACAUUGCGCCCCCUGGUAUUCCGGGGGGCAUGCCUGUCCGAGCGUCAUUGCUGCCCAUCAAGCACGGCUUGUGUGUUGGGUCGUCGUCCCCUCUCCGGGGGGGACGGGCCCCAAAGGCAGCGGCGGCACCGCGUCCGAUCCUCGAGCGUAUGGGGCUUUGUCACCCGCUCUGUAGGCCCGGCCGGCGCUUGCCGAACGCAAAUCAAUCUUUUUCCAGGUUGACCUCGGAUCAGGUAGGGAUACCCGCUGAACUUAAGCAU
rnacentral:rRNA from 1 species